GGUAACGGCUCACCAUGGCAAUGAUACGUAGCCGACCUGAGAGGGUAAUCGGCCACAUUGGGACUGAGACACGGCCCAAACUCCUACGGGAGGCAGCAGUAGGGAAUCUUCCACAAUGGACGAAAGUCUGAUGGAGCAACGCCGCGUGAGUGAAGAAGGGUUUCGGCUCGUAAAACUCUGUUGUUAAAGAAGAACAUAUCUGAGAGUAACUGUUCAGGUAUUGACGGUAUUUAACCAGAAAGCCACGGCUAACUACGUGCCAGCAGCCGCGGUAAUACGUAGGUGGCAAGCGUUGUCCGGAUUUAUUGGGCGUAAAGCGAGCGCAGGCGGUUUUUUAAGUCUGAUGUGAAAGCCUUCGGCUCAACCGAAGAAGUGCAUCGGAAACUGGGAAACUUGAGUGCAGAAGAGGACAGUGGAACUCCAUGUGUAGCGGUGAAAUGCGUAGAUAUAUGGAAGAACACCAGUGGCGAAGGCGGCUGUCUGGUCUGUAACUGACGCUGAGGCUCGAAAGUAUGGGUAGCAAACAGGAUUAGAUACCCUGGUAGUCCAUACCGUAAACGAUGAAUGCUAAGUGUUGGAGGGUUUCCGCCCUUCAGUGCUGCAGCUAACGCAUUAAGCAUUCCGCCUGGGGAGUACGGCCGCAAGGCUGAAACUCAAAGGAAUUGACGGGGGCCCGCACAAGCGGUGGAGCAUGUGGUUUAAUUCGAAGCUACGCGAAGAACCUUACCAGGUCUUGACAUACUAUGUAAAUCUAAGAGAUUAGACGUUCCCUUCGGGGACAUGGAUACAGGUGGUGCAUGGUUGUCGUCAGCUCGUGUCGUGAGAUGUUGGGUUAAGUCCCGCAACGAGCGCAACCCUUAUUAUCAGUUGCCAGCAUUAAGUUGGGCACUCUGGUGAGACUGCCGGUGACAAACCGGAGGAAGGUGGGGAUGACGUCAAAUCAUCAUGCCCCUUAUGACCUGGGCUACACACGUGCUACAAUGGAUGGUACAACGAGUUGCGAACUCGCGAGAGUAAGCUAAUCUCUUAAAGCCAUUCUCAGUUCGGAUUGUAGGCUGCAACUCGCCUACAUGAAGUCGGAAUCGCUAGUAAUCGCGGAUCAGCAUGCCGCGGUGAAUACGUUCCCGGGCCUUGUACACACCGCCCGUCACACCAUGAGAGUUUGUAACACCCAAAGUCGGUGGGGUAACCUUUUAGGAACCAGCCGCCUAAGGUGGGACAGAUGAUUAGGG
rnacentral:rRNA from 2 species